rnacentral:rRNA from 1 species
GAUUAACGCUGGCGGCGUGCAUAACACAUGCAAGUCGAACGAUGAAACUUAAAUGAUUUCUUCGGAAUGAACUUAAGUGGAUUAGUGGCGGACGGGUGAGUAACGCGUGAGUAACCUGCCUUACACAAGGGGAUAGCCGUUGGAAACGACGAAUAAUACCCUAUGAAACUAUCACUUCGCAUGAAGCGAUAGUCAAAGUGUUAGCGGUGUAAGAUGGACUUGCGUCUGAUUAGCUAGUUGGUGAGAAAAAAGCCCACCAAGGCAACGAUCAGUAGCCGGCUUGAGAGAGUGUACGGCCACAUUGGGACUGAGACACGGCCCAGACUCCUACGGGAGGCAGCAGUGGGGAAUUUUGCACAAUGGGGGAAACCCUGAUGCAGCGACGCCGCGUGAUUUAGAAGGCCUUCGGGUUGUAAAAAUCUUUUGUAUAGGAAGAAAAUGACAGUACUAUACGAAUAAGGGCCGGCUAAUUACGUG